ensembl:miRNA
GAGGUGGGAGGAUCGAUUGAGUCCAAGAGGUCAAGCCUGCAGUGAGCUGUGAUCACACCACUGCACUCCAGCCUGAGUGACAGAGCAAGACCCUGUCU